rnacentral:rRNA from 1 species
CCUACGGGAGGCAGCAGUAGGGAAUUUUCGGCAAUGGGGGGAACCCUGACCGAGCAACGCCGCGUGAACGAAGAAGUUAUUCGUAAUGUAAAGUUCUUUUAACAGGGAAGAAAGAGAAAUUUGACGGUACCUGAAGAAUAAGCUCCGGCUAACUACGUGCCAGCAGCCGCGGUAAUACGUAGGGAGCGAGCGUUAUCGGGAAUUAUUGGGCGUAAAGGGUGCGUAGAUGGCAUAGUAAGUCUUUUGUAAAAAUGCUGGGCUCAACCCAGUAGGGCAAAAGAUACUGCAAAGCUAGAGUAUGACAGGGGCAAGUGGAACUACAGGUGUAGCGGUAAAAUGCGUAGAGAUAUGUAAGAACACCAGUGGCGAAGGCGGCUUGCUGGGUCGAUACUGACAUUGAGGCACGAAAGCGUGGGGAGCAAACAGGAUUAGAUACCCCAGUAGUC